GGCCUUAUGGCGCAAUGGUAGCGCGUCAGAUUCCAGUACCCUCCGCCGGAAAUUCCUGAAGGUUUUGCGUUCGAGUCGCAAUAGGGUCA